GCACUGCUUCGACAUGCUGCACAGAACAAACCUUUUAACAUUGCAAUGUACAGAUCAGCCUGCUUUCUUUUUUAAACCUGCCACAGCGGUUAAAUAGAUAUUUCAAUACUUUAAAUUGAAACAGCAACGAGACUAUUAUGUCAAUGUAAGGAACCCGUUCUACAAUACAAGCCACAUUUAAAAUGUAAUGUAAACAUGGAAGACAUUUAUAGUGGCCGUUUUUCUUCUUCAAUCUCCUUGCAACUGUUAGCGAUGACGUGAAUACAAUUUGGUGUUAUUGCCAGCAAACACUCAUGCACGGCACUGCCAUUAACUGGACAAACUCCGCGAAAGUUAGUCGGAACUAAAUCCAUCACGUUGAGAGUAAAAUAAAACGAUAAAACGCUGCCACUCAAGGCUGUGAUUUUGGCCAUCUUACUCAGAGUCGCCCUCCGCUGUGCAGGACAAGAGGAUUAUUCCCAUAGAUGAAAAAUAAAAGAGUUAUUACUGUUUAAAAAAUGUUGAGAUUCUCUCUCCUGAAGGCCACGCCCCUUUCAGAGGGACUAUAAAACCCAGAAGUGUUGAGUGCCCCAGUCAGUCUCUGCUAGAUGGGGGAGUGAGAGGGUCACGUCGCUCAGUCUGAGCUGUGAAUAACACUGAACACAUGUCUACUAAACUGUGAGUGGUUUUACUGACCUGUCUGUGCCCUUAAUGUGGUUUGUAAAACAUAGUUUGGAAAUGCUAAAGCUGUGUUGCCUUUAGUUUGGAAAUGCUGAAGCUGUGUUACCUUUGGUUUGGAAAUGCUAAAGCUGUGUUGCCUUUUGUUUGGAAAUUCUAAAACUGUGCUGCCUUUGGUUUGGAAAUGCUAAAGCUGUGUUGCCUAAUUAAAGUUGCCAUGCCCAAUUAAAGUUGCCUUGCCCAAUUAAAGUUA